ACACCCAAAGGAACAUACUAAUGGGGAAAAGGGGGGAAAAUGGGGCGUGGGGGGUGGCAUUUGGGGAAAAAGGCUGCAUACAACUGCCAUGAAGGCUUGAUUGAAAAAGGAAAAGGCUCACCAGGACUCAUUCAGAUUAAGUGGUUUUUAUGGAAAAUAUGAAAGUGGGAUGGAUCAGGACAUCAUUUACAGAACAAAAUGCAUUUAGGAUACCUCUGGUCUCCAGCAUGAUCACAGUGAGAGGAUUACACUGAAAGACACCUCAAUCAAUCAGCUCUGUGAACCCCUGAAGAGUUACAUCAUUCAAGUUACUAGUUUUCAGUAAACAAGCAGCUGGAUUUUGUUGUAUUUAUUC